AGUUGUGUUCUUUUUAAAUUUUGAAUUACUUGCUCACUUGCUGUAAUGCUGUUACACAUUUAAUUUCAGCUACUGACUUCAGUUUUUCUCUUUGUAAUUACAGUUUCAGCAGCAGAACAGCAAGGAUAUGGAGUGUGGGACAAGAAUAUGGAGUUCUGGACAGUUCAAACAUCAAAUCUCACAAGUGUCACCAAACUGACUAUCAUUGUGAUGUUCCUGCUUGCUAUAUAGUAUAUAAGUACAUAUACAUGUACAUAUAUGUCGUGGGAUGUAUAGGACGACUAUAGCGACGACUAGGACCGACUAGGGUCGACUAAUCGACCUGAUCGACAACUAGUCGCCUUAUCGGUGCCAUGGCGACUAGGUUCGACUAGACGACUGUAUAACAUUGGCUUUUAGACCUUUUCAUGCUUAGCUAAGAUGACUCUUUUGUGGUGAUUAGUGCUAGCUUUUUGGUGAAACUCUUAAUUGGGUCUUUGGAUAAGUUUUGCUUCUGCUUGAUUCUGAGAUGUGCUAAUCUUUGUUGAAUCAUCACAUGCUUGGUCAAGUAGAGUUUUCGUGGUAAGUUUUGCUUGAAUUGUUGGCUUCCGCUAGCGGGUUUUUGGCGUUUCGGCUAAUCUUCGGUGUCCGCUUUGUGUCGAUCUUUUCCUAACCGUUCCUAAAGUAAACUCGUCACUUGUUAGCGUGUGUUGCUUUGCGGUUAGAAGAGAGGUGCAUCGGGUUGAAUUUGGGAUAUAAGCCUUGUUCUUUCGGAGAAUUUUUAUCGGCUCCCAUUCACCCCCCCUCUGGUCGCCUGUCCGGUCCUUCAAAGAGGCAUACUCAUUUCUCUAAAGGAGUUCUUUACUGUUCUUGAGAUGCUUCUUGGUUAUAUAGCAGGCAAUCUCUAUGUGGAAGUGGUUUCCGGUUGGCGUUAUAUGUAUGCCACCAGUACACCAUUAUGCCUCAUAAUGGGAGUCGGAAUGUGCUGGUUACCCUCGUCACCUAGGUGGCUCCUGUUAUGUGCCAUACAAGGGAAGGGAAACCUACCAGAGACAUGGCCCUCUCCUUUACUUAGGUCUCAUUCAACUUUUGAAACAGUGGGCGAGUUCUUCCGAAGAAAUCAUCCAGACCACUGUCUUGGUCAGCAGCCUGUUUACAACACAAAUUGAUAAGCUCAACUUGUUAAGAAAAGGGAGAGGCUUCAAAACUGGUUGGAUUACUAUCAGCUGAAGUUUGAAAGGCAUCCUGAGAAAAGACCAACUAGACGGACAGGAUGCCUUGGUUUUUGUGGCAGGGAAGUGGAUCAAAUCGACUACUACCGGGCUAGAAUCAGCGAGCUUGAGAGGAAGGUGGCAUCUGAGCACCAGAAAGUUCUCAAUGACCCAAAAGCUAUCAUGCCUGUUUCUUUUGUGACGUUUGACUCGAGAUGGGGCGCUGCUGUGUGCACACAGACACAACAGUCGAAGAACCCAACCCAAUGGCUGACUGAUUGGGCUCCUGAACCGCGGGAUGUUUAUUGGCAGAAUCUUGCCAUCCCAUUUUUCUCUCUCAGUAUCCGCAGGUUUCUGAUCUAUCGCAUUUGUGCAAUCACUUGCCAAUCUUGAGGGUCUUGAAAAGGUUGCUCCAUUUCUGAGGCCGGUAAUAGAAGUAAAUGUGGUAAAAUCCUUCCUUCAGGGGUUUCUUCCCGGUUUGGCUCUGAAGAUCUUUCUCUAUAUCCUCCCUACAGUUUUAGUGAUCAUGUCAAAAGUUGAAGGCUAUGUAUCUUUAUCAUCGUUGGAAAGGAGGACUGCUUCGAAAUAUUACUACUUCAUGCUGGUGAAUGUAUUCCUUGGAAGCAUAAUCGCUGGUACAGCAUUUGAACAGCUAUACGCUUUCCUCCAUCAGUUAUUAUGUGAUCAAUCAAGAACACGGAGAAAUUAUAAUCGAAUGGCCAUGGCAUACACAUGUUUUUUUUUUCAGAGAUCGUCUGCGCCACUAUAUCUAUGAAGAUUCCAUUCUGUAAAGGCUGGAUGUGCAAGUCUGAGUGCUGGCUUCAGAAGAAACUACGUAAAGUUGCACUCAAGGAACACAAGUGCACCAAAGGAGGGAUCAGGGGCAGGUGUCACUGCCUAGUUUGUAAAGAUGUGCCUCGUCUUAAUUAAUUUGCAAAAAACGGGGCAAAGCCAUCAUCAUCGUAAAGGAAGAAUCAAUUAGUCAAGUUGUCGUCACGUCCUGUGUCAGCAAUGUCUUAGAAAUUUAUAAGAUAGCUAGUAGUCUCUGGUUAGUUACUCUUGGCAUAUGCUAGUGUGAACUUUCAUUCUGAAAUAUUUGGUUCAAUAAUACUAUUGCUUGGUGUCUAGCUA